AUGGAGUUCUACGAUGACGAGAAGUGGAAGUUCUCCAAGAAGAGCCGGAACAACGGCAGCUGCAGGCGCGUCUCCAGCGGCGGGGGCGGCGGCGGCGACCCGUUCCUCAAGAGGUCGGCCAGCACAAGGGACCAGGCGAUCGGCCGGCGGGCGAGCGCCACCGCGGCCGCCUCGGCGAGCGGGUGCGCGGCGCCUUCGUUCUCGAGCCGGUGCGCGGGGCUGGUGAAGGAGCAGCGGGCGCGCUUCUACAUCAUGCGCCGCUGCGUCACCAUGCUCGUCUGCUGGAAGGACUGCUCGUAG
rnacentral:rRNA from 1 species